GUUAGGUCUGUCUUCUAUAAAUUAUUCUGUACAGCAUUAGAGAUCUUCGUUAGGUCAGUCUUCUAUGAAUUAUUCUGUACAGCAUUAGAGAUCUUCGUUAGGUCAGUCUUCUAUGAAUUAUUCUGUACAGCAUUAGAGAUCUUCGUUAGGUCAGUCUUCUAUGAAUUAUUCUGUACAGCAUUAGAGAUCUUCG